rnacentral:rRNA from 1 species
AAAGCUAGGGGAGCGAACGGGAUUAGAUACCCCGGUAGUCCUAGCUGUAAACGAUGGAUGCUGGGUCUGAGGGGGUGUAAAUUCCCUCUGUGCCGAAGCAAACGCGUUAAGCAUCCCGCCUGGGGACUACGGCCGCAAGGCUAAAACUCAAACGAAUUGACGGGGGCCCGCACAAGCAGCGGAGCGUGUGGUUUAAUUCGAUGCUACACGAAGAACCUUACCUGGGUUUGACAUGCACGUGGUAGGGAACCGAAAGGGGACCGACCUUCGGGAGCGUGCACAGGUGCUGCAUGGCUGUCGUCAGCUCGUGCCGUGAGGUGUCGGGUUAAGUCCCGUAACGAGCGCAACCCUUGCCCUUAGUUACAAGUGUCUAAGGGGACUGCCCGGGACAACUGGGAGCCAGGUGGGGAUGACGUCAAGUCAGCAUGGCCUUUAUAUCCAGGGCUACACACACGCUACAAUGGCCGGUACAAUAGGUUGCGAAGUCGUGAGGCGGAGCCAAUCCUCAAAGCCGGUCUCAGUUCGAAUUGCAGUCUGCAACUCGACUGCAUGAAGCUGGAGUUGCUAGUAAUCGCAGGUCAGCUAUACUGCCCUGAAUACGUUCCCGGGCAUUGUACACACCGCCCGUCACGUCAUGGAAGCUG